rnacentral:rRNA from 1 species
AACGAACGCUAGCGGCAGGCUUAACACAUGCAAGUCGAACGCCCCGCAAGGGGAGUGGCAGACGGGUGAGUAACGCGGGGGAACGUGCCCUUCGCUUCGGAAUAGCCCCGGGAAACUGGGAGUAAUACCGGAUACGCCGUAUUGGGAAAGAUUUAUCGGCGAAGGAUCGGCCCGCGUUGGAUUAGCUAGUUGGAGGUGUAAUGGACCCCCAAGGCUACGAUCCAUAGCUGGUCUGAGAGGAUGAUCAGCCACACUGGGACUGAGACACGGCCCAGACUCCUACGGGAGGCAGCAGUGGGGAAUCUUGGACAAUGGGCGCAAGCCUGAUCCAGCCAUGCCGCGUGAGUGAAGAAGGCCUUAGGGUUGUAAAACUCUUUCGCCGGAGAAGAUAAUGACGGUAUCCGGAGAAGAAGCCCCGGCUAACUUCGUGCCAGCCGCCGCCGUAA